AUGUUCGGGUUAAGUCCCGUAACGAGACGCAACCCUUGUCCUUAGUUACCAGCACGUAAUGGUGGGCACUCUAAGGAGACUGCCGGUGACAAACCGGAGGAAGGUGGGGAUGACGUCAAGUCAUCAUGGCCCUUACGGCCAGGGCUACACACGUGCUACAAUGGUCGGUACAAAGGGUUGCCAAGCCGCGAGGUGGAGCUAAUCCCAUAAACCGAUCGUAGUCCGGAUCGCAGUCUGCAACUCGACUGCGUGAAGUCGGAAUCGCUAGUAAUCGUGAAUCAGAAUGUCACGGUGAAUACGUUCCCGGGCCUU
rnacentral:rRNA from 1 species